GGUGGGGCUUGGUUUUAUACAGGGAUUGGUUGAGCGUAUUCCUGUAAGAUUUUUGUUUUUCUAUGUUUAUAUUAUCUUUGCUGCUAUUGUGGUUAAGUAAAGAAAGUGUUAAGCAAUAUGGGCCUCCAUGUCUUGUAAUAAAAUGUAAGGCUCUGAUUAAUAUGGUUCCUUAUUGGUUUUAUUAAUUAUUUCUUUAGAGUCAAUAAUGAUUGGUAUUUUUACGUUUUGAAGCACAGUUAGAAAUAUUAAAUUUUUUUUUGGUUGGUUAUGGCUUAUUUUACUCUUGUCUUGUGGAUCAAAAGCAGAUACAAGAAAGAUUAUAAUAUUUAACUUUAACUUCAGUCUUCAUAAAUUAUUAUAUGCAGCUAUGAAUCUUUGAGUAAACAUUGCUCUUUUCUACAGUUACAAUGGCGUAAUCUCCUGGCGUUUGUAUAAAUGUUGGCCAGAAAUGUAUUUUGUAUUUUAUUUUUUAAUUACUCCAUACGCAUAUUGUGUACAUUGCCACAGUGUUAAUUCUAUAUUAUCAAUGUGGCUGAAAAGGGGUUUAGGUGAAAGCAUUACUAAAGAGUUUGACAUUAAACCAGGAGAAAGUACCCAUACACUCAAGGCAACAUAACUACAACAGUAAACUGUAGUUAUGCUGCUGAAAGUGCCCCUUUAAGGAAUAAAUUAAGAUAAAAAUAGACAAUUCUCACAAUAAUCUAAUUUAUUAUUUGUAUUACAGGUGUGGAGCUGGUUGCUGCCUCAUUCCAUUUUGCAUUGAUUCGUUGAAAGAUGUGGAUCAUUAUUGCUCCAGCUGCAAUGCCCUUGUUGGUUCAUACAAAAGGAUUUAAGAACUAUUUAAGCUCAAUGAGAUACAUAAUCAUUUCAUCUUCAUUCUUGAUUAAUAUUUCAAAGCAAAGACUAUGCAAUCUAUGUUUGGGAAAUUGUGAUAGAUAUUAUACUUUGAAGGCUAGGUAUUCAAGAUCAGUGUAUAUUGUAACAUGGCCAGGGUUAAACAUUACAUUUUUAUGAUACAUUCCAAGAAUCAGGCAAUUUAUCAUCUAGCCAUAGCCACAAAAAAAGCAUUUUUAUGUCGUUUGUUUUUUUUGUUUUGUUUUGCUGGAGGUCAUAUUAUACUGUUAGCAUGUUUAGUAAGUCUUUAUUUGUUACAGGAAGAUAAAUGUUUUAUAUUGGUUAUAUAUCUAAUUUGAAAUAUUUUGGUGUCUUUGUUUUUGUUUGCUUUAUUAUCAACCAAUUAUUCCAUGAUUUCUCCACAUUAAGUAUCUGUGAAAAUCACUGAAUCGUGAUGCUGGAAAAAAAGGGUUUUGUUGUGCUUGACUAUAUACCCUAAUCGAAUAGCCGCUAAAUGUUGAUGAUACAUUGUUAGCUUCGUACUUCUGGCCUCUCCAUCCAUGCAUCAUGUUUUUUGUUUUACUAUUUCCCCAUUUUGUUUUUGUGUUUUUAAAUUGUCAAAGUGCAUUGUAAAUACAAAAUAUCAUAAAAUAUAUUUCUAGUUAACUAUAGCACAUAUUCUGAAGUUGUUUCUAGUUUUUGUCUCCCUUUAGAAUCAGAAAAAUAGCAGAUUUAGCAUAUUUCAAUGAUUCACAUAAAUUACAGCUUUCUAUUGAUCUUCACAUCAUUUUUGUAAAUAUGAGUUAUAUUUGCACUACUUUUUUACUUUUCAAAAGCCAGCAUUUUAGUUACGAAAAAGUUUAAUGUUUGUUUAUUUUCAUAACGUAACAUUGUUAAACAUUUCCAAUUUAAAAAUGUCAAUGCCUAAAAGAGAAAUCUUUAGUUUUCAUUCGUCUGCUGCCUUGUAAGUGUAAGAUUUGUGAAGUGUAAGGUUUUUUUGUUUUUGGUUUUUUUUUUAUGGCUAUAUUCAUCUUUGUUUACCAAGGAUACAAGAAAUAUUGCAUAAUUUAUUAUCUUGUUUCAAAAAAGAACACUUAAUUAGACAUGUGUACAACUUUAUUAAUUAUUGCUCCUGAACAGAAGUUUGCAAUCUAGGCACAUGAGGCUGCCACAACAAAAUGGAAACACUGGUGAGAUCAGAGAAUCUCCCCUGUGGGCCAGGUGCCUUCCUCUGCUACCACACGGGAGGUUUUCAACUGCAUCUCUGGUGGGUGCAGACCAAUUGUAUAUCUCUCCAAUGCAAUGUGGCAUUUGUGACUGAUGUGAAGAGCCAACACGGAGGGAGAUGUAUAACUAGUCUUCCACCAGUGGAGAUCACGCUACAAUCUGGUGUCAUCAAGGCUCCAUGUCCCUCUUCGUGGUCAAAGGAAAGCAAGAGGGAGGCUACACAAACAAACUGCAUAAUAACUUUUUAUAUUAAAUUUUAAAACAAAUUGAUUAAACAGUGCACAAUAGAGCCCCCCCAAAAACACUGCAAACAUUUAACACACACAAUUUACACAUUGCCAUGAACAACCACACAAAGCAGCCAUGCAUACAUAACACAAGCUAAAGUCACAUUCCAAUGUUAACAUAAAGCCUGCACUGUAAGGGACUAAAAGCAUAUUACUACCUUACAGUUACCUACCUUAGCUCUAGAAGCUAUACGUUGUUAUUAUGAAGUAAUAUGCCACGUUUUACAGAAUCACAAGUGAAUAGUUUGCCCACAAAUAUUUAUUAAUCUCUUGUUUAAUAACUAACUUCUACCAAAGCAAAUUCAAAGUUUUAUACUUUGAGGUACAUUUCUCAAUAAUAACCAAAAGUUGUCUAUGGUAGGCACUUUUUGUGGACCACUCAAUAGAUCAUUGAUGCACAAAGCUUUGAACUUUAUUUUGCUGUUUUUACAGUUGUUACAUUUUUAUCAUUACAAGUGAAUGGCUCAGAGAAAACAUUUUGUUUGCACAAUAAAGCCAACUACACUUGCUUGUUUUACUGGUAUUCCUAAACCUUUACGCAAUACCUUUCUAUAUUGAAUCACCUUUCAGACUUAAUGUUCUUUCAUUCAUAUGACUGCUAAAAUGUGUGUUUUGUCCUAUAUUGGAAAGAUGAUCUAAAAUAUACAAUUUGAGGUGUUUUAACAUCCUACAGGGUUGUUUACUAACUUGGUUGUUUAAUAAAGUAAGAAUUCCAACUAAAUUACAAAUUUAUGGGCAGAAUAGUGGGAUUAAAAAAAAAAAUCCCUGGCCUAAAGUUUUAAAUUGUCAAAGUGCAUUGUAAAUACAAAAUAUCAUAAAAUAUAUUUCUAGUUAACCAUAGCACAUAUUCUGAAAUUGUUUCUAGUUUUUGUCUCCCUUUAGAAUCAGAAAAAUAGCAGAUUUAGCAUAUUUCAAUGAUUCACAUAAAUUACAGCUUUCUAUUGAUCUUCACAUCAUUUUUGUAAAUAUUGUUUUCCUAUAUUUACAGUUCGGCUGUUCUGUUCAAAACGUGUUCAUUCACUGAAGUGUUAAUUAAAAGUUCUAUAUUAUAACAUCAGUGCCCUUUAUAAACUCAUCUUCUCAAUAUGCUGGAAAUCUUUGAUAUAAGGUGUUGCUUAAUUAAGAGUGUAUUUCUUUAAUAACAUUAUAAAACUAUUAGAGAAUGUGAAACACAAGAUAAGCUUGGGAAUGUUAACAAAUAUACUUUAAAAAUAGAGGAAUUGAAGUAACACAUAAAAAAAAAAAAAGGAUUCUAGGCACUGUGUGUGUCUUUCAUGCCUAAAAUGUUUGCAUUAAUAGAAUUGCAGCUGUGCUGGUAUUUGUGAAAAAUAGGUUAUUUAAAGGGAUAAUAUAAGUACCAAAACAACUUUAGCUUAAUUAAGCAGGUUAUUUAUUUUUUUUUGGUGCAUAGAUGAUGCCUCUGUAGUCUCACUACUUAAUUCUCAUCCAUUUUAGGAGUUAAACCACUUUUGUUUCAGUUUAUGCAGCCCUAGCAAUACCUCCCCUGGCUAUAAUGCACACAUUAAAAAAUAAUUGUUUCAUUUUUAAUCUGAUCUUAAACUUUUUAUCUCGUUCAAAUUGUCAAACUUAAAUCACACACGAAACUCGUGCAUGCUUUUACAGACUAUUAGUAGAGAUGGGGAUUAGAAAUUAUAAUUUAAACAGACUGCAAUAAAGGAAGUUUAAACAUUAGAUCUCUCUUUACAUAAAGUGUUGCGAAAGGCUGUGUAAGUCACAUGCAGGGGAGAUGUUACUAGGGCUGGAUAACUAAGUUCCUCUUUCACAUUUUUUUUUUUUUUUAAACUUUUGAUUAACUUUAUUUUGAGAAGUAAUAUAAUUGUGAUUAAUUUGUUCUCCAAUACUGUUAUUUUUUAAUUUAUUUAAUGCUUUGUCUACUAAAUACAAGUUGUAUGUCUGGUUGACAAUUUAUAUAAUGUCCUUAAUACUUUGGGUUGUUGAAGGUAUCAAAAGAAUUAUGGAGAGUCUUUGUAUAACCCUUACUAUCACAUUUCGUAACAAAUGCUCAACUCAAAACAAAGUUAAUUAAUGACCACAUUUUUAGGGGACCAUUUGAUAAAUUGGAAAGAAACCCUUAUAGGGCUUUAAGAAACAAAACAGGGAGUACAGGUUGCAACAAGAUACUAAUAGCUUCUAGAUAUAUAAAUGAGAAGCAUCCUGUUGGAGGGAUACCCUUACCUUCUGGAGUGCUGCAGCCCAUAUGUUCACUUGGACAGUUGUUUAGCGAUGUUCCUUUCUCUCUCUCUCUAUUUUAAUAUCUUCUUAUUCACCUUAUAGGGCCUUGCCUGUCCGUUUUAUGCAAGACCACCAUUGUCCAAGUUUUGGUAGGGGUUGUUGCACAUAAAAGUUUGCCAAUAUAAACAGUCUUGGUUAAUAUGUUCAUGCAUAAAAGGGGUAGGCAACCUUUGGGACUCCAGAUGAUUUGGAAUACAUCUUUCAUAAUGUUAAAGCCACAAUGCUGGCAAAGCAUCAGGUGAGAUGCAGUCAAUAACAAAUGGGAAAGGUUGCUUACACCUGUACCUAGUGCCCAGAGAAUUUCCAUCUGGCAGCCAGUUUAUCUACAAACAUAGUGACUUCGAGAAGCCAGAGUGGUGGAUACAAAGUAGCCUUUCAGAGUGGUAGGUUACACACGACUCAAAUUUCUUACCAGUCAAGCAAAUCCUGAUUUGCAUUGCUAAUCCCAACAAUACAUUUUUCUUUUUCUCUUUUGUCUUCAUGGCGUCCUCUCUUUGCAAAUAGCAUAAUUAAAAUAGCGAUCUAAGACUGACUAUGUCAUAUUUUUCAGCACAUAACUUUCUUAUAUAUUUUAUAGUUUGCUACUCUUAAGCUUGAAUUAUUUACUUUAUAAUGCAGUAUUUAUCAUUAUUGUUAAACUUUAUUAAUCUUGAUAAUCACUAGUUUUAAAAAUGUAUAUUGUUUCAAAAUAUUGUUUUCUAUAUAUAUAUAUAUAUAUAUAUAUAUAUAUAAUUUUUUUUUUUUUUUUUUUUUUGUAAUGUACGUGUAGAUCACCGUUUGGAUAUUUUCAUUUUGUUUUCUGGGGAAAAAGUCACACAUUUUGAAAGAUGUCUAACACCAGAAAACUUUCUAAGGACCAAAAAAAAGAAAAUGUUUGCUAGAUACAUGUUUAAAAUGUUUAUAUUUGUAUAAACGUAAAAAAUUUUUAUUACUGUAGUUCUAUAAUGUAUUUGUAAUAUAU